UAUACCUACGGGAGGCAGCAGUAGGGAAUCUUCCACAAUGGGCGAAAGCCUGAUGGAGCAACGCCGCGUGGGUGAAGAAGGUCUUCGGAUCGUAAAACCCUGUUGUUAGAGAAGAAAGUGCGUGAGAGUAACUGUUCACGUUUCGACGGUAUCUAACCAGAAAGCCACGGCUAACUACGUGCCAGCAGCCGCGGUAAUACGUAGGGAGCAAGCGUUGUCCGGAUUUACUGGGUGUAAAGGGUGCGUAGGCGGUCUUGCAAGUCAGACG
rnacentral:rRNA from 1 species